CCUACGGGUGGCAGCAGUGGGGAAUAUUGGGCAAUGGGCGCAAGCCUGACCCAGCAACGCCGCGUGAAGGAAGAAGGCUUUCGGGUUGUAAACUUCUUUUCUCAGGGACGAAGCAAGUGACGGUACCUGAAGAAAAAGCAUCGCCUAACUCCGUGCCAGCAGCCGCGGUAAUACGGAGGAUGCGAGCGUUAUCCGGAUUUAUUGGGUUUAAAGGGUGCGUAGGCGUAAUGCCAAGUCAGCGGGAAAAUCGCGGGGCUCAACCUCGCACCGCCGUUGAAACUGGCGUUCUUGAGUGGGCGAGAGGUAUGCGGAAUGCGUGGUGUAGCGGUGAAAUGCAUAGAUAUCACGCAGAACUCCGAUUGCGAAGGCAGCAUACCGGCGCCCAACUGACGCUGAGGCACGAAAGCGUGGGUAUCGAACAGGAUUAGAUACCCUAGUAGUC
rnacentral:rRNA from 1 species